AGCGAACGCUGGCGGCGUACUUAACACAUGCAAGUCGAACGAGGAUCGCUACGUGAGCAAUCAUGCGGCGGUUCUAGUGGCGUACGGGUGAGUAACACGUGGGCAACCUGCCCUGGAGCCUGGGAUACCCUCUCGAAAGGGAGGCUAAUACCGGAUACGUUCCCCGGUCGCGAGAUCUGGGGAGGAGAGGUGGCGCAAGCUGCCGCUCUUGGAGGGGCGUCGCGGCCGAUCAGCUAGUUGGUGAGGUAAUGGCUCACCAAGGCUAUGACGGGUAGCUGGUCUGAGAGGACGACCAGCCACACGGGGAC
rnacentral:rRNA from 1 species